GAUUAACGCUGGCGGCGUGCCUAACACAUGCAAGUCGAGCGGCAGCGAGUUUUACACUGAAUUCUGGAAGCUUCUAGUUGAAAGAGAAGAUUUAUUCAAGAAUUUUGUGUAAAAUGUCGGCGAGCGGCGGACGGCUGAGUAACGCGUGGGAACGUACCCCAAAGUGAGGGAUAACGCAUCGAAAGGUGUGCUAAUACCGCAUAUGGUCUUCGGAUUAAAGCCUUCGGGCGCUUUGGGAACGGCCUGCGUUAGAUUAGUUCGUUGGUGGGGUAAUGGCCUACAAAGUCGACUAUCUUUAACUGGUUUGAGAGGAUGAUCAGUCAGACUGGAACUGAGACACGGUCCAGACUCCUACGGGAGGCAGCAGUGAGGAAUCUUCCACAAUGGGCGAAAGCCUGAUGGAGCAACGCCGCGUGCAGGAUGAAGGCCUUCGGGUUGUAAACUGCUUUUAUAAGUGAGGAUUAUGACAGUAACUUAUGAAUAAGGAUCGGCCAACUACGUG
rnacentral:rRNA from 1 species